rnacentral:rRNA from 1 species
UACAGAGGGUGCGAGCGUUAAUCGGAAUGACUGGGCGUAAAGGGCGCGUAGGCGGCCUGUGCAGUUGGGGGUGAAAGACUCGGGCUUAACCUGAGAGGGUCCUCCAAGACGCAGAGGCUAGAGUGAGGAAGAGGAGAGUGGAAUUUCCGGUGUAGCAGUAAAAUGCGUAGAGAUCGGAAGGAACAUCAGUGGCGAAGGCGACUCUCUGGUCCUAGACUGACGCUGAGGCGCGAAAGCGUGGGGAGCAAACAGG